rnacentral:rRNA from 1 species
UAACACGUGGGUAACCUGCUCAAGAGAUCGGGAUAACACCUGGAAACAGAUGCUAAUACCGGAUAAAAGCUACUUUCGCAUGAAAGAAGUUUAAAAGGCGGCGUAAGCUGUCGCUAAAGGAUGGACCUGCGAUGCAUUAGCUAGUUGGUAAGGUAACGGCUUACCAAGGCGAUGAUGCAUAGCCGAGUUGAGAGACUGAUCGGCCACAUUGGGACUGAGACACGGCCCAAACUCCUACGGGAGGCAGCAGGG